rnacentral:rRNA from 1 species
UACGUAGGGACCGAGCGUUGUCCGGAAUCAUUGGGCGUAAAGAGCGUGUAGGCGGCUAUUUAAGUCCUGCGUGAAAUCCUGCGGCUCAACCGCAGACGGUCGUGGGAAACUGGAUGGCUAGAGUGCGGGAGAGGAGAGUGGAAUUCCCGGUGUAGCGGUGAAAUGCGCAGAUAUCGGGAGGAACACCUGUGGCGAAAGCGGCGCACUGGACCACAUCUGACGCUGAGGCGCGAAAGCUAGGGGAGCAAACAGG